UACCAGGGUACUCUUGACACCUUAACCACUACAGGUUGCUGUAGUGGUUAUGGUGCUUGGAAUGUUCCCUUU